rnacentral:rRNA from 1 species
UGGGAAAAGCUCAACUUUGAAAUCUGGCAGUUUUACUGUCCGAGUUGUAGUCUCGAGAAACGUUUUCCGUGUUGAUGCAUGCAUGAGUCUGUUGGAAUACAGCGUCAUAGAGGGUGAGAACCCCGUUCGUGGCAUGCCUUUCAAUGCUUUGUGAUACGUUUUCGAU